UUAUUGGUCGGCUUAAUGAUCCUGCCUGAAUUAUGUAUUCAUUUCAAAAAUUAAGCCAUGCAUAUACAACUUUAAUCGAUUAACGAGAAACCGCGAACGGCUCAUUACAAUGGACAUGAUUUACUUGAUCUUGAUUAUUUAAAUGGAUAACUGUGUGGUCUUUAAAGUGUUCACUUUAUCAACUUGACGGGGGUAUAAUCGACUCCCGUGGUGGUGACGGAUAACGGAGGAUAGGGUUCACCUCCGGAGAAGUGGCUUGAGAAAUGGCCACUACGAUUAAGGAUGGCAGCAGGCGCUUAAAGUACCUACCACGAUGAGGUAGGGACGAGAAAUGAAGAGAUCGUUCUCUUUGAGGCCGGUCAUCCGAACGGUACAAGUUAAAACCUUUAACGAGUAUCAAGCAGAGGGCAAGUCUGGUGCAAGCAGCCGCGGUAAUUCCAGCUCUGCUAAUACAUUGAAUGUCUAAUGCGGCCAAAAAGCUUGUAGUUGGAUUCGUAUCGGUACUCUAGAACCCUCCGGUGUUUCUGGGUGUUAUCGAUUCAUCCUUAUUGGUCGCAAAGCUGAAACUUAAAGAAAUUGACGGAAGGGCACCACCAGGAGUGGAGCUUGAGGCUUUAUUUGACUCAAAACGGGGAAACUCACCCGGCCCGGACACUGUGAGGAUUGACAGAUUGAUAGCUCUUUCAUGAUUCAGUGAAUCGUGGUGCUUUAAAGAGCAAUAAUAAUAAAGGGCAUAACAGGUCUGUGAUACCCUUAGAGGUUCGGUGCAAUAUUCUGCCCAUAAAGGGCGGGUGAGCAAUAGAAAUUUACCGUGAUUGGGAUUAUAAAUUGCAAUUAUUUUCCGUGAACGAGGAAUUCCAAGUAAAUGCGAGUCAUCAUCUCGCAUUGAAUACGUCCCUGCCCUUUGUACACACCGCCCGUCGCUGCCCGGGACUGAGCCAUUUCGAGAAAUUGGUGACUGUUGAUUUAAUUUCUUUAAAUUACAUUGAUGGAAACCAAUGUUAUCGCAGUGACUUGAACCGGACAAAACUCGUAACAAUGUAGCUGUAGGUGAACCUACUGCUGGAUCAUUACUUUA